rnacentral:rRNA from 1 species
UACAGAGGUCUCAAGCGUUGUUCGGAUUCAUUGGGCGUAAAGGGUGCGUAGGCGGCGCGGUAAGUCGGGUGUGAAAUCUUGGAGCUUAACUCCGAAACUGCAUUCGAUACUGCCGUGCUUGAGGACUGGAGAGGAGACUGGAAUUUACGGUGUAGCGGUGGAAUGCGUAGAUAUCGUAAGGAAGACCAGUGGCGAAGGCGGGUCUCUGGACAGUUCCUGACGCUGAGGCACGAAGGUCAGGGGAGCAAACGGG